rnacentral:rRNA from 1 species
AUCAGCCGCGGUAAUUCCAGCUCCAAUAGCGUAUAUUAAAGUUGUUGCAGUUAAAAAGCUCGUAGUUGAAUUUCAGGCCUGGCUGGACGGUCCGCCCUUCGGGUGAGUACUGUCUGUGGUCGGGUCCUACCUUCUGGCGAAGCGUCAUGGCCUUAACCGGCCGUGGCGGGGAACCAGGACUUUUACUGUGAAAAAAUUAGAGUGUUCAAAGCAGGCAAUCGCUUGGAUACAUUAGCAUGGAAUAAUGGAAUAGGACAAUGGUUCGAUUUGUUGGUUUCUAGGACCGUUGUAAUGAUUAAUAGGGAUAGUUGGGGGCAUUAGUAUUCAAUUGUCAGAGGUGAAAUUCUUGGAUUUAUUGAAGACUAACUACUGCGAAAGCAUUUGCCAAGGAUGUUUUCAUUAAUCAAGAACGAAAGUUAGGGAUCGAAGACGAUCAGAUACCGUCGUAGUCUUAACCAUAAACUAUGCCGACUAGGGAUCGGAUGAUGUUAA